rnacentral:ncRNA from 1 species
GCUAUCUUAACGGAAUUCCUGUGCAGUACGAGAGGAACCACAGGUACGGACCACUGGCUCAAUACUAGUUCGACAGGACUAUGGUAUGACGCUACGUCCGCUGGAUUAUGCCUGAACGCCUCUAAGGUCGUAGCCAAUCCGAGCUGAUAGCGCUUCUCUACCCCAUUAGGUAUUCGAGAUCUAGCGGGCCUAACAACCCUACGAGAUCCGUUGGAGCUUGCCUCUGCAGCCCGGCGUCUCAUCCCGCUAUACCUAGGCCGCAUCGAGCUUGAGCUGCCCCGCACGUACUAGUACCCUACCAUGGCGAACGACGUUGCUGCGGUUCGCCGAUCGUGGAUACACCUAGUUUCGAUACCUACCGACCGCCCGCAAACGACGGGACUUUAGGCUGGGAGCUGUGAGUUGCAGAGAUGCGUUCGCAUCGAUCCUCUCAGGCGACCCAUGCUUGGUGGUUUGUC